UACAGUUAGUGUAAUUGCACACAAAAAGGUUUCAAUCCCAUAUUCGGUGCCUGUCUCGGGCACUCCCUGCAGAACAGCAAUUACCACACCAAGCUUUUCACCUGCACCACUGAUCAGCCCUGCAAGGGUAGAGAGAACUCCUUUUCUUAAGAACAACAACAACAACAACAACAACAACAACAAUAGCAAGCCUUACCGCCGUGGCUUUGGAGUGAAGAGGGUCUUGACUAAUUAUCUUGGAGUUGAUUCAAAACCAAAGAUAUGUGGCAAUCCAACAGAUGGUUCAUCAGUUCUGAACUCUAGCAGUACAGACAGCUCAGGGAAUCAAAAGGAUCAAAAUACAUCAAAACAAUCAUCAGCAUACCAGAAUGGGAUCAGAUUGCGACAAAAUCCUCCGCGAUAUACAGUCACUUGAGAUUUUUGCUGAGAAAAGCAAAACAAUAAGAUGUGACAAAUAGAAUUAAUGACGGAAAACUUGUGGUUGUUGUAAAAUACUUAUGUGUAUGAGUUAUAUUUUAUAUUUUUUUGGUUGUGUUCCUCGUUCUUGUAGUUAAUUUGAAGCAGCAGUUAUUUGUAUCAAAACAGCCUACUUUUUUAUAGGGUGCUAACCGUGUGUUAACGUGAAUGCAAGUGAAAUGAGACAAAAUAUAGUAUGAGAUGCUUGGUUGUGUUUUCUCUUCAGAAUCAUAUCUCUAGACCAAAUGCUCGAAUCAUAUAUCAACCUGGUCAGUAAUGUAAACA
rnacentral:lncRNA from 1 species